GGAUCAUUAAAGAGUUCUAUAACUCCCAAACCCCUGUGUACAUACCUCUUGUUGCCUCGGCAGGUCACGCCUGCGCAGUAGUGCCCUACCCUGUAGGAGCCUCGGUUCCAAUAGGGGAUAAUGCUUUACGAACGUACCCUCCUAUGCGAGUGUUACAACUGACUGCAUAAUCCCCUUGUGAGGAGAAAAGCUUUAAGACCGUACCUCCUAUGCGAGUGUUACAACUUUACUGCAUAAUACCCUUGCGGGGACCGAGGACGUCUGCUCAGUAGUGCUACUCGGUUCCAAUAGGGGAUAAUGCUUUACGAACGUACCUCCCUUGAUGCGAGUGUUACAGCUGACUGCAUAAUCCCCUUGUAAGGAGAAAAGCUUUAAGACCGUACCUCCUAUGCGAGUGUUACAACUUUACUGCAUAAUACCCUUGCGGGGACCGAGGACGCCUGCUCAGUAGUGCUACUCGAUAGACACCAGCAUCGGUUUCUAUAGGGGAUAAAAGCUUUAUAAACGUACCCUCCUAUGUGAGUGUUACAGCCUUACUGCAUAAUAAUACCCUUGCAGGGAACGAUGACCUGCCGGCGGCCCACGAAACUCUGUUUAUUAUUGAAUUCUGACAGUAUAACUAAAUAAGUUAAAACUUUCAACAACGGAUCUCUUGGUUCUGGCAUCGAUGAAGAACGCAGCGAAAUGCGAUAAGUAAUGUGAAUUGCAGAAUUCAGUGAAUCAUCGAAUCUUUGAACGCACAUUGCGCCCAUUAGUAUUCUAGUGGGCAUGCCUGUUCGAGCGUCAUUUCAACCCUUAAGCCUCUGUUGCUUAGUGUUGGGGGCCUACAGCACUGUAGCCCCUCAAAGUUAGUGGCGGAGUCGGUUCACACUCUAGACGUAGUAGAUUUUAUCUCGCCUAUCAGUUGGACCGGUCCCCUGCCGUAAAACCCCUACUUUUUAAAGGUUGACCUCGGAUCAGGUAGGAAUACCCGCUGAACUUAAGCAUAUCAAUAAGCGGAGGAAAAGAAACCAACAGGGAUUGCCCUAGUAACGGCGAGUGAAGCGGCAACAGCUCAAAUUUGAAAUCUGGCCUUCGGGUCCGAGUUGUAAUUUGUAGAGGAUGCUUUUGGCGCGGUGCCUUCCGAGUUCCCUGGAACGGGACGCCUUAGAGGGUGAGAGCCCCGUACGGUUGGACACCAAGCCUCUGUAAAGCUCCUUCGACGAGUCGAGUAGUUUGGGAAUGCUGCUCUAAAUGGGAGGUAAAUUUCUUCUAAAGCUAAAUAUUGGCCAGAGACCGAUAGCGCACAAGUAGAGUGAUCGAAAGAUGAAAAGCACUUUGAAAAGAGGGUUAAAUAGUACGUGAAAUUGUUGAAAGGGAAGCGUUUGCGACCAGACCUUUUCCUAGCGGAUCAUCCGGUGUUCUCACCGGUGCACUUCGCUAGGUUUAGGCCAGCAUCGGUUUCCACAGGGGGAUAAAAGCUCUGGGAACGUAGCUCUUUCGGGAGUGUUAUAGCCCUCUGCAUAAUACCCUUGCGGGGACCGAGGACCGCGCU
rnacentral:rRNA from 1 species